AUGAAGAAGAACAAGAAGAAGAAAACAGUAUCCGGACUGUUUUGUUGCCCAUGUAGCUGGCAAGGAAGUAAAUAUAAAAUACAGUUAUUUUUUUUAAAAAGUGUAACAUCAGAAUGGAAAGAACACGACCCCGGCGCUGGAUCUCACUUUAAGGGGACAUUAUGUUCCUGGUGCCUGCCACAGCUGUAGAUCGACCCGUUUGAAAGAACGUCACCUCCGCUGUCGCCAUGGGAACGUCGAUGAGUGAGCCGUGUAUCUACGACAAACUGUCGGAGAGCAUCGACAUCCUCCGACAGUCAGGCUACCGCUACGGCAUGUCGGAGCGGGAGAUCGAGAGGUUCAUCAAGCAGGUCCUGGAGACCAACGAGCCCAGGAGAGAGCCGCCGCAGUUCCCCAUCAUAAGAGCCACCAUAAAGUUUGUGGUUGCAGUGGGUUUCCUGCUGAUUGUGGUGCUGGCCUUCACGUACCCCCAGAGCACCCCCCAGCUGGGUCUGGUCCACCUGGGCUGCUAUAACUGGUCGUCCCCCCUCAGUCACGUCCGACUGCUGUCCCUCCCCAUCGCCAAGAAGUACAAUCUGCAAGGUUUUCACGAAUGGUGGAGCGCCGGCUCUCUCAGGCAGAAUCUGGUGAACUGUUCGGGCUGUGCAGAGAUCUCCUCGGUGAUGGAGGUCCCAGAGAGCCUCAGAGGGACCGUGACUCUGAGACGAGGGCCACAACUCGUCCUGCUGAAGGGCGGGGAGGCCCUCAGCGUCCAGCGGCAGCAGCUGGAGGAGCUCUAUUUGGCUCAUUCAGGCUCCAUGUCUGUUCUACUGGAGGAGGACGACGGGCUGCAGAACCUCAACCUCGGCCUCCCACAAGGACCCGCCAACUUCACCCUCUUCUGGCGGUUCAGCUCUGGGACCAGGGAGAAGGUGUUGAGGUGGCUCUUCCCAAAGGCUGAGCUCUGCCCCCUGCUGGACAGUGCUGGAACCAUCGUGCAGCGCUGCCUGGUCACACACAGCACAAACUCCCAGAGCAAGGGCGUUGGCGUGUUUGGCUGGCUGGUGGUGGGUGAGGGGUUGCCCACAGUUCGAGUUCUUCCCGUUCAUCGCUGUCAGAAACACUGCAGCUCCUUCAACCUGUGGCUGACACCUGGAGACAUGGGUCUAUGGCAUGUCAAAUGAAUGAUUCUCACAGAUAACUCCUCCCAAUCUCGCUCGACGUAAAUUCUCCGGGUAAUAAUCCUGCUGCGUUCUCACAUCAGCUCACUCGGACUUGAUGCAGAAAAAAAUACUCGGUGGUCUGGCAGGAGAAUCUCCGGAUAAAGUUUGAGCCAAACUUUCUCCAAUUAUUGUUUUUUUUUUUCUUAAUAAUUGAAGUAAAUGAGACCAAUCAGCUGAUGAACAUGAAUACUCUGUCAUCUGACUUUCUCUGUCAGCUGAAACCACAGAUUGAAUUCACAGCAGCAUUUCUAGCAGAAUAGUUUCUCUUUCAGGCUUCACACAAAGCAGACAGUGUUCAAAUUUUCCUAAAUAUUCUCAUCUGCGUUUACACGUCGGCUCACCACGACUUCAAGCAGAAGUUUAAGAGGAGGCUGGCAAAGUCGGGUCGAAAAUGUCAGCCUUUUGCGUCCCUACAUGCAGCUCAACCAGAAAAUGUUGGUGAAUUUGUAGGCUGUGUUUUGUGCAUGUGUGAGGGAGGCUUUAGGUGACAUUGUUUCCUUUUGAUUUUUGCCCUCUGCAGUGUACGCUGACACUCGCUACUGGCAGAUGGAGCUGUUCCCCGGCCGCGGUCAGAACAUCAUCUGUGACGGCUCAGCCUUUUAAACCUUCAGGUGCAGCCAAGUGAAGGACGACAAAGUUCAGGACUGAGGUCUGACUGAAUGUGCGACUUCCUGCUGUGGCGUUUGUCAGAGCUAGUUGCUCGUUCUGUGGCCCCGCCCACAGAUGCCUUAUAACCCCGUCUGAUAAACGAGAACUGUCUGAGAAGUGGAAACCUCUUCACACAGUUUGGACAAAAGGAAAUCUGCAGGUUUGAAGGGUGGAAGUCUGAGGAACUUUUUCACUUUGUCUUCAUCCGAGCAUCACCUGGCUUUAAACUCUGCAGUGUUCACAUGCUCGGGAUGUUCUGUGCUCGUGCCAUAGCAAGAGGAUUUAAGCAAUUAAAAUAUAUAUAUAUAUAUAUAUGUAGACUGUUUCUCUUUCAGAAGGUUGUGAAUCACUGUUGAUUUUCUUUUAGACUCAUGAAUCAUUUUUGAUUCGUUCUGAUGUUGGGUUCAUGAGGGAUGUUUCUUUAGAAUAAUUUCUCGGAUUAAACAGAUUAAAUUCAGACUAGUCGAAUAGUCUCACACAUUAUUUAUUUAACACGGCUUAACACCGGCCAAAAUCAUACUGUGACAAAUUGCUAUUUGAAACAAUUGACGGCUGAUUAAAAACACACCGAAACGUUGUAAUGUGCAUUACUCUGUGUUCAAACGGGUGUGGCUAACGUUAGCAGUGCUAGCACCGCCAGCCUCCGGUCCUCCUUGCAUGUUAACGUCUACACGCCUGUUCUAAAUGUGGUUACACAUCGCUCCGGUUGAGGGUUUUAAAUGACAGUUUUUCCUGCCCUGCUCCUACGAGAUUCCAUCCGUCCACUGUGCUGGUUUACAUCCGGGCAGUAGAGCGGGGAGAGCAGGCCCUUUAACUGGAGCUACAGCCCCAUCUAGUGGUGAGAGACAGCAUUACAGCUUAGACACAACAUUUAACCAGCAUUGUGCGCCUACACUUAUAGAUAUAAGAUAUAAUAAAUAGUUUAACUGACUAGUGGCCAUGUUUAGAUUAAAUCAUUAAGCCGACUAACCUUGAACAUCUCUAGAGUUCAUCCUCUGGCUCCCUCGGUUAUCAGUCAGUCAGAGAUUAAAAGAUGUGACAGAGUAGACGUCGAUCAAUCGCAGUCUGUGUUGUUGAUGCACAAACAGAUUCCACAUCAUCACAUCACUCUUUUGUUAGCUUGUCAUCGAUACUCGGACUGGCAACACUCACUACAACACUGUAUCCAUACUUUAACACUUUUCAAUACCACAUUUUUAAAAAUGAUGCAAUCUCUAUUUUAAUGAUCAGUAGUAUCAAAAAGCACCCUAACUUACACAAACAGGGCACUGUCUGAGUCGCACAAAUACACUGGCUACAUAUUGGUACAAUUUAAACCGUGUGCAGGAGUUCGCCUGCUAUUUUUGGUAACGAGAAACCGCAAAUUGGGGAACUAGGACUUUGAUUUUUGCCAUCGCGGUGUUGAAACAGGUAUAGAAAUGGUCUGAAAUUUGCAGAAAUUGAGCAAAUAUUGAGUAAACGGUUAAUUAAUAUCUUCAGCUGUGUAAAGACCCGCAGCUUUCAGUGAGCACACUUCCUGUUUGCAGUGCAUCCUGGGAACUGUCUGUUCAAUGGGACUUCCUGAUUGUUGCUACCUGCUGCUUCUUCAUUUCCUGCUCUUCAUCUUCAUCUUCAUGUUCAAGGUCCAGUUCACUCAAAACUCAAACCACAUUAAACAUACUCAGCGUGUUCUGCGGAUAAUUAAGGGUUAAUCGAUAAAGGCUUGUUGACACAAGUUCAUUUUAUUACAACUAUCUUAUCGACGUCGGGGGCAAAAAUCUCUGAGACUGAAAUCGUAAAACCUCCACGUGUUAAACUAAAACGAUGUGACUGAAAAGAUCAGAUCAAUCCUUCAAAGAGAAUUUGUAUUUUUUUGUUUUUUGGGUGAACUGAGCCUUUAACCACCAGCAUCAGCAAACAUCUGACUUUAUUUUUCAUCCUUCAUGUUCAUCCGAUGUUUCCUUUAUUGUUCUUUAACUGAUCUAAUGACAAAGCUGCUUCCCUCAUUUCAGUGUCUUUAUUUAUUGUUAUGAUUGUAUGUAUAUAUGUUCAAGCCAUGAAUUUUAAUAAUAAUAAUAAUAAUAAUAAUAAUGUGUUGUAAUAUUAUUAUUCUUGGAUGAGCUGUCAUUUCCUGUACAGAUUGAUUCUCUGUGAAGCAGUUGAGGGUUGAUUUUGUGGGUCUGUAAAGAGAAUUAUAUUGAAUACGUUUGCCAAAGUUUCUCUGAUUUAAAGAUGAUCUACAUCUUUUUGUUUAAGUGUCCCAAAAAAAAAAAAUCCCUAAUCUACAAACAUCAGCAGUCGGGAUGCUCGAACAAAAAGAUAGCGGGUGCCGUCUCGUAAAGUGGACGCGUUGCAUAGAGGUGAUGGUGUCAUGAGGAAAUUAAAUGCUGUCAUGCAUUUGCUUCCAAAUGUUUGGGAUUGUUAUGUUUUGAAGUGGUAUGAACACAAAUGAUCAAAGUUUUUUACUCAAAGAAGAACGUGUAACUUUUUGAUCCAGUAGAUGUCGCCCUUGAGCAUGAGCAUGAAACCAAAAAAAAUUCUGUUUGGUGACACCUCCCCUAUUCUGAAGCCUCCACUCUCCUCCAGCGACACACCUCCAACCCCUCUCCCCUCCCGUUCUCCUUGUCUUGAGCCACAUUGUUGCGUUAGCAGGCUGAUGGUAGCGGGAUGAGCCGGCCAUGUAAACAUGAAAACACAGCUCUGACAACAACACAGCCAGCCUGACUCAUCGCUCCUCACUCAUUGUAGACAAUCAUUCAUCCUGUGACAUUUUAAACAUAAAUAAAUCAUAAAUCCAGUCUAA